rnacentral:lncRNA from 1 species
UGCCAUUUUUGUUCUUUACAUUUUUCAGAUUAUUCUCAUCUUCUUAGAAAUUAUAGAACAUCUCCUUGAAAUGUUCCAACAAAAUAGUUUAAAAUUUUUCUUUUGACCACAUAUAGUUAUUAUUAACAACAAUAGUCAUAGAUUGUGCCCAAUCAUCUAUGGUUUUUUCAUAGUCUGCUAUAGGAAUAUUAGUUAGAUCUAAAUAUAUUCCUCCUUAAGCAACAUUUCUUUUAUUUAAAUCAUCUAUCCUAUGUGGUAUAGGUUGAGUAGAGGAUUCUCCUAAAUUUUCAAAUUUUAUUUUAUUUGUAGCAAUAUUCUCGGUUUGAUUACCAA